rnacentral:rRNA from 1 species
AUUGAACGCUGGCGGCAUGCCUUACACAUGCAAGUCGAACGGCAGCACGGGAGCAAUCCUGGUGGCGAGUGGCGAACGGGUGAGUAAUAUAUCGGAACGUGCCCAGUCGUGGGGAUAACGUAGCGAAAGCUACGCUAAUACCGCAUACGAUCUAUGGAUGAAAGCGGGGGAUCGCAAGACCUCGCGCGAUUGGAGCGGCCGAUAUCAGAUUAGGUAGUUGGUGAGGUAAAGGCUCACCAAGCCGACGAUCUGUAGCUGGUCUGAGAGGACGACCAGCCACACUGGGACUGAGACACGGCCCCAGACUCCUACGGGAGGCAGCAGU